UCUGACAUGACCUCUUGUUGUUGCCGUACAUCGAGUCAUCAGGAAGUGGGAGCGGGAGUUGGCAGGCAGGUAAGCCAGUCUUUGAGUACUUAGAUCUGAACAAGGAGUGGGAACUUACGAGGACACUGGUUCACAAUUCCCUGUACAUGAGCAAUCAGCCGGGUUUUGGCGCUUCUGCGGUGUGGCCACAGUAGCCUGCAAGCGUGACGUGGACUGUUGCACCUAGAUCUGCCCCUCAUCUCCGUGACCGGUCCCCACCCCCGCCGUGGUGGGACCAGUUUGGGCGGGAAAUCCCAGCUGCACACAGGAGACCUCGUUUUGCUGUGGGGCCUUGCUGAACUGUGGACGGUUCCCACCAGCUGAUCAGUGACAGAAGUGGGAGGCGGAGGUGGUGGACUGCUGUCUGGUGGUGGGUUCCAGUGUGCUGUGUGGUUUUCCCCAUCACGUGUGCAGUGCUUCACAACAUUGUGCUGGUUGCUUGUGUUUUCGUGUUGUUUAACCUCCCCAGUAAGCUCCCCCUCUGGAAUAUUUUUACUAAUUGUAUUAAGCUAUUUACUACAAAAUUGACGUGUUGACGGACUGAAAAUGGAACUCCUCAAGCUAUUUUUCUUUUUACAAACUUUAUUGAAUUUAACAAUUCAAUACACAACUAUUCAAAAAAGGAAAAAACCGGGUUUUUUUUAUUACAUUUUACACAAAGACAUUGAAACUGACGCACUGAUCGAAUGUUUUAAUUGCUUACUUAUUGUCAGAGGUUCUUAUUGUGUUCAUGUUUUUUUUAAACUAAUUGAUAAAGAUAGAGAAAUGAGGGUAUAAUUUGUAACUCUGGAUUUAUGAACGUAAAUCAAAGCAUAAAAACAAUAAACUUUUAAUGAUA